GUUUCCAGAUGUUCCAUGAGUUCCAGCUAUUUUAUAAUAUUCUAAAUCUGUCUUCCUUUUUCUAUAGCAGCAUUCAUUCCAGGUGCUGUGAUGGGACUGCAAGUGAAAGUCAAAGCUAAUGCAAAUCCCUCGUAUUCUGAGAUUAAACGACUGGUGUUGAUGAAACUUGAAGAAGAAGUGCGCAGACUGGGACUUUCAAGGAACGUCACUUUGAACGUGAGAAAUAAGCUUGGUCCAGCCAAGGAGAUUGUGGAGGACAAGUCUGAAGGACAUUUCUAAGUAAUGUACAGAAAGGUACCUGAAAAAAGAAGAAGCAAGACUAUGGCACAUACGAUGGCACACGAACAGGAUAACAACAAAAAUUUGACAAUCAGAUGCUGAAGCACAGGACCUUACAAAUUGGUGCUAAUCAGGGUGAAACAAGACACAGGUGCAAGUGAUAGAAAACAUAACAUGUGCUGGGACUGAUGGGAAGUGUAGUUCAGUGCCCCUUUUGCGCUAUCAUGACAGGUCCAUGAAGAACAAAGUCUACAUUCAUCUCUGUUGAAACAUAAAUACUGUUAUUUAAAAUGCUACAUUACAAAUAAGCUAAGUGAAUUAAGGAUUUGUUAAAUAAACAAACUGAAUUUUACCAUAACAAAAAUAUUUACAGCUUGCAAAAUCCUUGAAAUGUCUCCUGGCUUUGACUAUAACAAUAGCAAAUCACUGUUAUUACACUAAGUUGUGAACGAGCAUAAUUUUCUAAGGUGUAAUGCAAGCAACAGUAAAAAUUUUAAUGGUUAAACACACUGACAAGCUCGACUUCUCUUUAAACUUGCAUUUUUCAUGAUUGUUGUCACAUGCUGCAUCUCAAACUGUAAACUCUGACAUUACAUUCAAAAGUAUUUACUAAUUUAGAGCAGGGGUUCCCAAACUUUCCCAGGGCAAGGCCCCCCAAAUGGCAUUAACAUUUGACCGAGGCCCCCCUUUUGCAAGAUGUCUUUAAAACACAUUAAAAAUACAGACUUCUGAAUAAAUCCCCCCCCUUUUUUUUAAUUAAUAAUUAUAUCUUACAUCUUUACAUUACAUUACAUUAGGAAUUGAUUGUGUGUGUGUGUGUGGUUGUCUGAGAGUGAAAAUUUAUUUUUCACACCAAAUUGUUGAGGCCCCCUGGGCGCCCCCUGGCGGUCCCCACUUUGAAAAACACUGAUCUAGACAGUGCAGAAGACUACUAUAUAAAACAGACCUUUCAGACCUUAAGGUUACAUGAGAGUUUUUUUUACAUUCAAACAUUAACUGUAAUAGAAAAAAAAACACUAAAUAAUAUUCUAGAAUAGUACUUAAGUAUGUGAGUUGAGACACAGAAGUAGUUUGUUGAGUAGUGGUAGACGGGUAGAGAAAUUAUAUUGCUAAACGUCACUACUGCACAUUUCAGAAUAGUGAAAAAAUACUACAAUAACACGUACCCUAAUCAUUUAACGCAGCUUGUCUGAAUGUGCCUUCUAGUAACAUUUCACAAUAUUAGCAACCAAAACCAAUCUUUGAUAUUUCUAACAUUAAGCUGUAAAAUAAACGAUUGAAACAAAAGAAGAGCUUGUGAGUUUCUCCCCAUUUGUAAAUCAAAUGACCCCUACUUUUGGAACCACUGGUGUAAUAUUUUAUUUGUUGGAUAGGAAUGAAAUGUAUGCUGUUUAUUAAUUAUAUUUCCUCAAAUGAAUUUCAACAAUUAGAACACUGUACAUAUUUAUGUUUGUUGUCAUUUAUAGAAACUUUUGAUGUGUUGUAUUUUCUGAUUUGCAAUAAUCAUAUAUUCAACAUUACCUACUACCUACUUGUGUUAAGGGAUGCUAUCUGACUUAUUUAGUAAUUCUUUUCUGUAUUUGUAGUUAAGAUUGUGUCGAUUAAAGCCCACUCUGAU
ensembl:lncRNA